GAUGAACGCUGGCGGCGUGCCUAAUACAUGCAAGUCGAGCGAACGGACGAGAAGCUUGCUUUUCUGAUGUUAGCGGCGGACGGGUGAGUAACACGUGGAUAACCUACCUAUAAGACUGGGAUAACUUCGGGAAACCGGAGCUAAUACCGGAUAAUAUUUUGAACCGCAUGGUUCGAAAGUGAAAGACGGUCUUGCUGUCACUUAUAGAUGGAUCCGCGCUGCAUUAGUUAGUUGGUAAGGUAACGGCUUACCAAGGCAACGAUGCAUAGCCGACCUGAGAGGGUGAUCGGCCACACUGGAACUGAGACACGGUCCAGACUCCUACGGGAGGCAGCAGUAGGGAAUCUUCCGCAAUGGGCGAAAGCCUGACGGAGCAACGCCGCGUGAGUGAUGAAGGUCUUCGGAUCGUAAAACUCUGUUAUUAGGGAAGAACAUAUGUGUAAGUAACUGUGCACAUCUUGACGGUACCUAAUCAGAAAGCCACGGCUAACUACGUG
rnacentral:rRNA from 1 species